rnacentral:rRNA from 1 species
AUUGAACGCUGGCGGCAGGCCUAACACAUGCAAGUCGAACGAGUGGCGGACGGGUGAGUAAUGUCUGGGAAACUGCCUGAUGGAGGGGGAUAACUACUGGAAACGGUAGCUAAUACCACAUACCAUCAGAUGUGCCCAGGUGGGAUUAGCUUGUUGGUGGGGUAACGGCUCACCAAGGCGACGAUCCCUAGCGGGUCUGAGAGGAUGACCAGCCAGCGUGGAACUAGGAAACGGUCCAGACUCCUCCGGGAGGCAGCAGUUGGGAAUAUGGCACAAUGGGCGCAAGCCUGAGGCAGCCAGGCCGCGUGUAUGAAGAAGGCCUUCGGGUUGUAAAGUACUUUCAGCGGGGAGGCGUUACCCGCAGAAGAAGCACCGGCUAACUCCGUGCCAGCAGCCGCGGUAAUUC